rnacentral:rRNA from 1 species
UACGUAGGUGGCAAGCGUUGUCCGGAAUUAUUGGGCGUAAAGCGCGCGCAGGCGGUCUUUUAAGUCUGAUGUGAAAGCCCACGGCUCAACCGUGGAAGGUCAUUGGAAACUGGAAGACUUGAGGACAGAAGAGAAAAGCGGAAUUCCACGUGUAGCGGUGAAAUGCGUAGAGAUGUGGAGGAACACCAGUGGCGAAGGCGGCUUUUUGGUCUGUAACUGACGCUGAGGCGCGAAAGCGUGGGGAGCAAACAGG